AUAAAAAACCAAUGCCCUUCGGGGCUCCUUGGUGAUUCAUAAUAACUUAACGAAUCGCAUGGCCUUGUGCCGGCGAUGGUUCAUUCAAAUUUCUGCCCUAUCAGCUUUCGAUGGUAGAGUAGUGGUCUACCAUGGUUUCAACGGGUAACGGGGAAUUAGGGUUCUAUUCCGGAGAGGGAGCCUGAGAAACGGCUACCACAUCCAAGGAAGGCAGCAGGCGCGCAAAUUACCCAAUCCCGACACGGGGAGGUAGUGACAAUAAAUACUGAUACAGGGCUCUUUUGGGUCUUGUAAUUGGAAUGAGUACAAUUUAAAUCCCUUAACGAGGAACAAUUGGAGGGCAAGUCUGGUGCCAGCAGCCGCGGUAAUUCCAGCUCCAAUAGCGUAUAUUAAAGUUGUUGCAGUUAAAAAGCUCGUAGUUGAACCUUGGGCCUGGCUGGCCGGUCCGCCUCACCGCGUGCACUGGUCCGGCCGGGCCUUUCCUUCUGGGGAGCCGCAUGCCCUUCACUGGGUGUGUC
rnacentral:rRNA from 1 species